rnacentral:lncRNA from 1 species
CUUGCUUCCCAGUAGCCUCUGCCAAUGGGAGACACUGGUGGGAGCUUGGAAGGAGGGUAGAAGGGAGAAAGAAGCUGAUUUUAUUUCUCCUUCUGUUGAAGUCUCUGGCAGUGGCAGCAGUAGCAGCAGUGGCAGCAGCUGCGGCAAUAGCAGUAGCAGCGGCAGUAGGUGACUGAGUUUCUGCUCAGGUGGAGUUUCAACAGCAGUGGGGGCAGGGAGUGCUCUCGCAGCCUCUGCAGCAGGGCGUUCCUGGGCUCUGGAUCUGGCAGCAUCAGUGUCCGUGACAGGCAGCCCUUGGUGGGAGUUUAAUUUCUCGGCUUCCUGAAAGAUUUCCAAUAACGGCCGUGGAGCAGCAAGUAUCACAGCAGCUUCAGCCACCGAGCAAUCACCGACUCUUUGUGGAUCACACCAUAUUUCCUUUUGUUCAGCCAGCCUUAGGACGGCCCUGAAAGCAGCAGAUCUCACCUGCAUUGGAGGAUGAGACGCCACAUGAAGAAGAAAGAAGACGCCACAGACAGCAGCGCAGUACCACCUUCCAGAGAUGUCCUAAAAACAUCCUGAGUUUCUUUGGCCUGCCAGAAAGUCACCUUCCUGACUCACCUGUAAGGCUGGGAACUCCAUAAUCCAGUUGGAAAUGCAGAAAUCACCUGUCUUCUGCGUCGAUCAGGCUGGGAGCUGCAGACCGGAGCUGUUCCUAUUCGGCCAUCUUGGAAUGGACCCCCAUGUCUUAUUCUCAAAUAAAACAUUUUGGUCAAAGCCUUGAUUAUCUAAUCAAUUUUUAAAAUUAUGUUCUGUUACAAAAAGGACAGAUUCUUAUCGAACCCAUAUAAAAUAGUAUAUCACCAUUGAUACGGUUUGGAUCUGUGUCCCCACUCAAAUCUGAUGUUCAAUUGUAAUCUCCCAGUGUUAGAGGUGAG